rnacentral:lncRNA from 1 species
ACACAGGCGGAGUGGCGAGCCAGUGAAUGGGAGGCUCUCCUGCAGCGGGGGCACCUUAGAGGCUGGUUGUGUGGGCCAAGAAUGCACUCGAAGAGCAGGAACAGAGUUUGCAAGGGGGGCUGCCGGUGUCCACGGGAACCGUGGCAGGCCAGACACACCCAUCCCUGGAGAAGCAGAAGGUCGGCUAGGAGCUAUGAACAUCCUUGCUGAGCCCCAGAAGUGAGGAGCAACAGGGGAGGAAGGAGGCUCCUAUCUUGAAGCUGUUGGGCACCUACGCAAGUGGCACAGGGAGGGGCAGGGUGUUGGCUCCGAGUGAGAGAUUUGCUUAAGCCAGAUGGUGGCCGAUGAAGGAGGCCCAGGCAACCCCUUCUGGUCUUCCAGACAGCACCACAGGAAUGAAGGAAAAGAACAAUUUUGUGAUGGUAGCUGGAAGCCUCCCAGAUGAGGAAAUUAGAAGACGGGGGAAACUGCAGCUUGUCCUUUUCUCCUCAAAAGCCCAUUUCAAAGUCCACAUUCGAUUGCGGGAUUACGCUUAAGAGGUGGGCUUCAGAUCUUCAGUUACUUAUCCAGCUGCAGGAUGCCCUGCACUCCAGUAGGUGUUUAGAGUUUGAGACUGGACAAGUGAAGAGUCUCAAGGCAGAGCUGACUCCACCUACCGUUACACUGUUGAGCAGAUGAGAAAACCAGGCUUAAUGUUUGUUACCAGUGUCUCUUCCUAUUUCUUACUGUGUGACAAUGAUCGGUAUCUGGUUGCCUUAGAGACUGUCAGACCUGGC